AUAGUAAAAGAAGUAUUGACAGUGAGGGUUUUACACCAAACUAGGAAAAAAAAUGGAAAGAAAUAACUCCAUUAAAUUCCUUCUCUUCUAAAAAAGAGAGAUCUAAGAGUUUUUGGAUCAAUUGAUAAGACAGACAUAUUUAUAAAAGGAAUCCAUAACCUUAAUUUCAAUUAUAUCAUUAUAUAUGAUUUGUGUAAUUCUCUUUUAUAAGGAAUAUUAUAAAAGAACCAAUCGAGUUCAACCAACUGGUUUUAGAUAUUUUAAAUUUGGAGCUUAUUGACGAGGGAGAGCUUUCUAAGAUGAUUUGAUGAGUGAGGUCAUUUCACUAGGCCCAGCCUAGUCUCAGCAAAGCAGCAAAUAAAGCUUAUUCUGUCCAUUAUCAAGCAAACAUCAUGUUCAAGCCCAAAGAACUCUCUGAAAUAGGUUUAGCCCAAAAAAGCACUCCAAUCGUUCGGCUUUAGCCUUGGUAUCCAAGGAACAUCACGUGGAUACGAGGCUGAGUCCCCCAGUAAGCCUGAUCAAGUCUAGCUCAUCAACAACACCUUUUCCCCCCUUCCAGUCAUUUCCAUAGGUAAGUUUAACACAACGUCUUCUCAUGGAAAACAACCAGCUCCAUUUUCGAAAUCCAAGCUUCCCUUUCCUUCACUCUCCCAUUUCUUUUUCGGCGGGCUUCAUUUUAUAAGCGUAAGCCAUAUAAAUAGUCAUUCUAUGAAGGGUAAGCCAAAAAAGUUAGUUUCUUCACUCGAUUCUCUAUUCUCUAUUCAUUUAAUCCUUAUCCCUAUACAAAUACCACUUCAUAGUUUCUAGACCAGCUAGUUUAGGGUAAGCGAACCCUGAACUCCGUAGUUCUUCUAGAAUGAACAUCUAUCUAGCUUCAGAUGUUGUUUCCUAUAUGGAUCGCUAAACUAUGGAGCUAAGAGCCGAAUCCCUUGAAUUCUCUCAACCUCGUGAUUAUAGUUCCUAAUUUUCUGACUAUGAUAUGGUCUCUGUCAGCCUUACCAGCCGUCCAAGAUGAACCGAAUUGAUCUUUUUGGCCCCCUCAGCCAUGCAUUCCCGUCUUCAUUUAGCAGCAAAUUAACUCAAGGAUAACCUUUAUGUAUGAGCUGGAAAGGAGGUAUCUACAGAUACCAAACAAACUAGCUAGUUUGAGAAGAUCGUUAAAUAAGAGGCGGAUCUAUAGAGUCUUUACUUCCUCGACUCCUUAUUCAUAGUUCAGAUAAUCCAACCUCCACCGGUCAGCAGCACCAAAGAGAAUCAUCAUAACAUUUUUUCUGAAAUAAGAACUCAUCAAGAGAUGAGAUGUAGGUAAUGUCGUUUGAUCACAGUCACGAGAUUUGUCUGCAGCUACUAUAUCUAAUCAAUCUUCUGUUUUCAUUCUAUUUGAUUGGAGAUUAGAACGUGAUAUGAAAACGGAUCCAGGAAUCCCCGGAUAAUGGUUGUUAAGUUGGUAAAAUCCGAUAAUCAAUUGGUUUUAGAAAGACUUUCCUAACCUAGACAUUGUAACGGAAAGUCCUGUCUAUUUUUAGGGUUUUUAUAGUCCUUGAAAAUCUUCUUCGUUUACUGGCUUGAAAAAAUUUGUAAGCUAUGGAUUUCACUAAUGGAAUGAUGGAAUGGAACUAUAACCAUACUUCCAUGGUCUACCAUGAUACUUGGGUUACUUGGCAGGUAUACUGUCACAGUAAAUUCUCACGGGUCUGGGGGAGAUUAAGUAGACGCUGCAAUGUGACCCAACUGGAGUCUCGGCGUCUUGGAAGCAGCAACAAAAGUUGUGAAGGACGAGGAAGAAAUUAAGCAAAGUGUGAAGAAUUAAAUCAUCUGGUAAGAUCAUCUCUGAAUGAAGUUACGAACUUCACUACUUCUUAUUGUUUGUUAGGUUUUCUCUAUUUAUUUUAUUAUCUCUAACAGGUUCAAGAAAGCAGUAACUCUCAGUUUUCUAGAAUUAAGAAAUUAAAAAGACGACUGGAUUGAGCCCUAAACCCAAGUAGAGCAUCCAUGUCUCCUCCUCAUAGAAAUUGUUGAAAGUUUGCACUUGUGGUUAUCCAUGGGAUGGAAAACCAAUGGGAACUGCACCGAACAACCCAGUUCAAGAUGCUUCGAUUCCAUUUCCAACAGAAACUGGUGCCGGAGUCGCUAAGAAUGCUCCUCAACACGCAAAUGGGGGAAAUGUCCAAGUCAUGAAUGAGCAAAAUCAACAGCCUAAUGUCAAGGUAGAAGGAAGGGGGAGGCGAAUCGGGACUGUUCCCAAGGGUAGAGGAUAUUCCCAACCUGGCUGGACGGUGGCAGGAUUUGAUGUCGAUGGUAGAAGUUAGAAGCAACAUUUCAUAUUCUCCUAUACUGAAACUGUGAGCACCUCUACUUUUGCUCCACCAAGCAUGCUCUUUGUUCCAUAUACGCUGGCUGAUUUUUCCUACCGUGUUUAUUCAAUUGACUAUAGCUUGUUGAUAUAGAAAAUGCCCUCUGACCUUUUGAACUUCACAUUGCCACUUACCCUUGCCAUCAAUUCCUCAUUCAAGGAAGUAUCGCUCAAGAACAUUUCUUAUUCUUUACUCUUUAACUAGCCAAAGCUGCGACCUGAAGCUCUAGACUCUCCUUGUCCCUUUACAUAUUGCUUAAUAUUUUCUGCCCUGUGUAUGUAUUCUUUCACGUGUAUAUUGUCUGUUGAUAUAGAAGUGGUAUUUGAUCCUACUUCCCACUGCUGCUUCACUUGUGUUGCAAAUAGAGUCCUUCGAUAUUGUUUUCCCAUGUAAAUUAAACAUCUGUUGUUCUUCACUUUUAUUCUGACUAUAGCUGUACGUUUAAA